rnacentral:rRNA from 1 species
AGUGGCGGACGGGUGAGUAACGCGUGAGAAUCUACCUUCAGGACGGGGACAACAGCUGGAAACGGCUGCUAAUACCCGAUAUCCCGAAAGGUGAAAAGUUUUUUCGCCUGGAGAGGAGCUCGCGUCCGAUUAGCUAGUUGGUGAGGUAAAAGCUUACCAAGGCGACGAUCGGUAGCUGGUCUGAGAGGAUGAGCAGCCACACUGGAACUGAGACACGGUCCAGACUCCUACGGGAGGCAGCAGUGGGGAAUUUUCCGCAAUGGGCGAAAGCCUGACGGAGCAACGCCGCGUGGGGGAAGAAGGUUUUUGGAUUGUAAACCCCUUUUCUCAAGGAAGAACAAAAUGACGGUACUUGAGGAAUCAGCCUCGGCUAACUCCGUGCCAGCAGCCGCGGUAAUACGGAGGAGGCAAGCGUUAUCCGGAAUUAUUGGGCGUAAAGCGUUCGUAGGCGGCUGUUCAAGUCUGCUGUCAAAGACCGAGGCUCAACCUCGGGUAGGCAGUGGAAACUGGAUAGCUAGAGGUCGGUAGGGGCAGAGGGAAUUCCCAGUGUAGCGGUGAAAUGCGUAGAUAUUGGGAAGAACACCGGUGGCGAAAGCGCUCUGCUGGGCCGAACCUGACGCUGAGGGACGAAAGCUAGGGGAGCGAAUGGGAUUAGAUACCCC